ensembl:lncRNA
CCGCGGUCGGCGUCGCGAUCGUACGGGCGGGUCGCGCUGCGGCGUGAAACGGCGCGUUUUCGAGGGAGAGCGGCUGAAAGAUGGGUGAAGUGAGUUCCACGUGGGGAUGAACGGACUCCUCGCGAAACCCCGGCUGAGUCCGACAGAAAUCAGUUGGUGCUGCGUGCGAGAACGUCUCGUUUACACUUCGCAAAACAGCCGGUGGUUUUCUGAGCGCAAUACUGAGCAAAACUCCUUUGAUCGCUUCAGGGCUGAAGGGAGCCUCGCUUGCCGGGGCACAGUGGGGAGGGACGGGGAGCGCAACCCCCCGUGGCACCGGGAAUGGGAAGAAAGCGGGGUUUUGUGUGGCCUCAGCUGCGAGAGUAGAGAGCGUCACUGGCGGGAGAGCAGCAGCCCUCAGCCCGCUGAGGGAUCCCAGCGCGCUCCAGAGCAGCGGGGUCACGGCCGCGGCCAGGCGAGGUGCUGCUUCUCCCCUGGCAGCACGAGAGAAUCCAAAGCUGGGAACACCAGGUCCCUUCGUGUGCAAGAUUAGUCUUUUCUUGCCUGUUGUAUGUUUAAAAUGUAAUGUAUUCUGAACCUUCUGGGACCUAACUCGCAGCUCCACAGGAUUCUGUUACCGAUGAGUCCGCGUGCGCAACCUCUCAUCAAACGCAAGAGGUGCUCCCAGGAUCUCAGCAUCUCUCUCCCAUGGCAGGGACGGGAUAGGCAGCACGAGGGGAAGUUGCUUAUAAGCACCGUCGUGUAGCGUCAGAGCUGCAGGUUUGAAAGCUCUGAGAGCCAACCUCACAGAACCUUCCUGCUCUGAGGCACCAGCACCUUGCUCAUUCACGAAAUCACUCUGAGGAAGAAGGCAAAAUGAAUUUUUGCAUUAGGGACACAUCACUGGUUUCUCCGUAGUGCUGAUAACACAACUUUAGUGAAAAUCUCGGACCUUUUGCUACACAGAAUAACCAUGUUGCCCUGAAUGGUUAUUGUUUAGUGAAACAUCUGAAAACACAUAAUAGACUACUUGUUUGCAACGCUUGCUAUAGAUUUUGUAAUGAAGUGCCGUUGCGCUGCAUCAAUUUGACAGUUCGAGUUGAUAAUUUGACAGAAAGAUUAAUCCUAAACUCCCAGCAUAAACAGAAUUCCCUUUAAUGUCAGAAGGGACUUUGUAACUGCCAGCCCAAACGCUGCGGAUGGGCUUCAGCAGGUUACAGAGAGCGUCUUCAGGAUCAAAUUUGACAUUCCUCUUCCUGACUAACAGUUGGUAGUUGAAAAUAGAACACCUCUCCCAGUUCUGAAUUCUGACCCUCACUUCUUGCUCACCCAAACCGAGGACUUCCAGACUUCUUUUCCCAAACGCUCACCGCGAAGGCUUUUGAAUGCAGAUGUUCACUCGUGUCUCCUGACAGUAGGCUCAGUUUUCUCAGCUACUUUUAGUAAGCUCCUAAAAACAGCCCACGGUCCCUCAGAACCUCAUCAACAACUGGCUAAAAGCCACGGUCUCACUGUAUCCUUUUUUCUUUUGGUAUCUACUACAGACUUUGGACAGGUACAAAAGUUCUACCUCUCUGGGUCCAGGUCUCUCUGUCUGACAGCACGUUAUUUCUGCAGCUGUCACAUCUCCUCAUUUUCUAGAGCUGUUAUUACCUUUACAUAAUACGUAUUAUUAUAUUACAUAUUCUUCAGAAGUUGUUCUUCCAGUGGCAACAUAUGGAGGACCAUCAACCGUCAAGACGGAAGUUCAUGCAACUGUCAAGACUGAAUUUCAUGCAUUCAGAAUGCUUAGGCACCAUCUGACACUCGUAGAGACCCUAACGUUAAAUACAUCUACUGAACUGUGACAGCACACAUUUCUUGUGUGAAAGCCUAUAUUUCUGAUAAGGAAACCUGGUUCAGCAGCGCUCAAUAUGGAUUCUGGAUAACAUCUUAAAGAGGCCAACCAGCCAUUCCGUGCAUACAGAAACAUGCCUGUGAACUUCUCCCUGCAGUCAGCUCCUUCAGCUCCCCACUUCCACGCCAGUGAUGUUAUUUCACCCACACCUUGCAGAAGGGGCGCAUUCCACUCAUUCCUGAGCUGGGACGAGCGCCCGCAGCAUUACUCACCCACAGCAGUGUCUGUAGAUCCCUGUCUGCUGUGGAUACUAAUCUCAAUCCAGAGCUUCCUCAGACGAUUAGAGGCUGUUCUGCAAAAUGUCAAUACGCAGCCUCUCCGAAGCCAACACGGUGUGGUGGUUGAAAUGGGAGCCGUGGAGGCUUUCCAAAUAUGAAGGUCUGGAAAUGUUUGGAGGUAUUUUAAUAUUGAUGAAUACUUCAGAUUUUUUUUUUUUUUUUUCUGUUGCUUCAGUGUAUCAGUGUCAAAUCAGUGCGGAUUAAUGGCAAGACAGAGCCCUAGUACCAUUCAUGUCUAUCAAAGUUCUGGCAAAUGCUAACAACUUACUGCUAUUAAUGAUCACUCUUUGCCCAGAAGUUCACAUAAUUCAUCAAAAAGCCAAUGUUGAUAAGCAGAAAGAAAUUAAAUACUUCUGAGUCUUCUGUUAAAAUGCCUUUCUUUUUACUUUGUUUAACAUCUAAUGUCUCCUACGGCAAAAGUAAGCAAGGGGAAGUCUUUUCCUUCUUCAGCACGAAAGAGCACCCACACCACUCAAAAACAGUUGAGAUUAAACCUUUGAAAAGGUAUCAGCAGUGUGUGUAAAGCCAAAUUGGUAAAGUGUGCCCUAGACACCACUUUUGACUCUGGGGAAAAUGCUUUAUCAUCUGUCUACUGCUACGCUCUGCCUAUUCAUCACCAUUACUCAGUAACUCUGCGGUGGCAGCUUUGUACUUAACAUGAAGCCAAAGAUCAGGGAGAGGCACACAUCAAACAAGACUUGAACUUGGAGAUGGCAAACCAUACGUUCUAGACCUCAUUCCUUUAAAGGACCGUACCUCGGAAUGAAACCUGUGAGCCUUCUCUAUAGUUUCAUUUGUUCAAUACAGUGCUACACUUGUUCUGUAAAAGAAGUUGGCAAAAGCCCUGCUUUCCUGAGAUCUUGUCAUUCAUUGUGACUGAAACCUAAAAGGCUGCCCUAUGGUACUAGGGCAGGUCUGGGGUACCUGAGAGAUCUACCUGCUCCCUAUGCCUCCAUUCCACUUUCUUCACACACCUUGAAACCAAGGAACUGUCAAACACAGAAGCAAAGAUGGCGAGGGGUGUACACCCCCAUUCUUUGCAGCUUUCCAUGGCUGUAAAGUUCCCUGUGAAGUGACCCGAGAAUAUGUACAAUGACAGAAAACUCAUUUCUUCACCCGCCAUUUCUCAACAACAGCCAGUUCCAGCCCUUGUCAUUCUUCUACUUCUCCACACAGAUGAAGGCAGGAGAGAAUUCUCUUGGUUUCACUUUAAUAAAUGAGUAAGUCUCACAGGCAUUACAAUGGUAGGAGGAGAUGCAGAAAAGUUGUGUGUGGUUGGGAUACGAUGGAAAUUUCUCUGUUAUUUUAAAAUUAUUUCUUCCUUUAUAAUAGAUCAUUUGUGCUUAUACACUCCUGAAAAUGCUUUUAUAGCAAUCUACAUCAAGUUCUUCCUAAAAAGCAUCCCUCCUCUUUUUGUCUUUUUGUGAAGAAUAGAUUUUUUUUUUACAAUAAAGAUAGUGGUUUAUACAUUUGCUCAUAAUUCUGUAUUUCCCCCGUGAGCUUUAUUACAUGAUAUAGUAUGUCAGUUUAAGUAACAUCUGUCAAGGGAUGGAAAACAAUUACAGGUUCUUUUCAUUCAUGAAAGUCAUUCUGGAGUUUCUUCAUCCUUAAUUUUCUUGUCAUGCUUUCAAAAACAUUACAUCAUUUUGUCCAAAUUCCCCCCUGCAUUGCUUAUACAAGAUACAGUAGGUUAUUAAUUUCUUUCCUAGACCCAAAGAAACACAUCAAAGUAUCUACAGUCGCACGUACUACAUGUUUUAGACCUGGUUAAAGUUGGGCUUUGACAUGUCAUUAUUUGACAAUUACUCUUCUAUUGCAGUGCUUGCUUUCCUGCCAGCAUCUCGCCAGAAUCCUGCAUGACAGGUGAUUCAAUCUCUUGAUCUCAGUUAGAUUUACACGAAUUUUACGCACCCUAAUAUAUAAUGGCAAUGCAUUCACACUGCUGUGGCUAAAAGUCUGUCGAAAUCCCAAACACAUCAUGAGAAUACAUAACAAAUAUAUUCAGGACUAGAACAUGUCAUAUAUUAUCAGCACAGGAAAACAUUCUUUGUUCUUAGAAUCAAAGAACAGCGGAGACUGAAAGGCUCUUGUGAAGAGGAACCUAAUUUCCCUCCUCAAUGGUGAGUGUGUUGCUUAUGGCUGUGUUCAGUAAUGUUUCAAAUAUCUCCAAGGCAACCACAGCUUCUCGGGACAACCUGCUCCAGAGUUUGUUCACCCUUACAGUAAAAAGGGUUUAUCUUACAUUUAAAUGGAAUUUGCUGCAUUUCAAUUUGUGCCCAUUGCUGCUUGACUUUUCACUGAGAGGAGUGUGGCUCCAUCUUCUCUUCCCCCUCCCAUCAGAUGUUUCUACACACCGAUGAAAUGCCCCCUGAG